UACGUAGGUGGCAAGCGUUGUCCGGAAUUAUUGGGCGUAAAGCGCGCGCAGGUGGUUCCUUAAGUCUGAUGUGAAAGCCCACGGCUCAACCGUGGAGGGUCAUUGGAAACUGGGGAACUUGAGUGCAGAAGAGGAAAGUGGAAUUCCAAGUGUAGCGGUGAAAUGCGUAGAGAUUUGGAGGAACACCAGUGGCGAAGGCGACUUUCUAGUCUGUAACUGACACUGAGGCGCGAAAGCGUGGGGAGCAAACAGG
rnacentral:rRNA from 1 species